rnacentral:rRNA from 1 species
AACGAACGCUGGCGGCGUGCCUAACACAUGCAAGUCGAACGUGAUUGAGAGCUUGCUCUCAUGAAAGUGGCGCACGGGUGAGUAACGCGUAGAUAAUCUACCUGGUGAUCCGGGAUAACACCUCGAAAGGGGUGCUAAUACCUGAUAAGCCCACGGGGUCUUCGGACUCUGCGGGAAAAGGGGGGGACCUUUAGGCCUUCCGUCAUCAGAUGAGUCUGCGUACCAUUAGCUAGUUGGUAGGGUAAAGGCCUACCAAGGCGACGAUGGUUAGCUGGUCUGAGAGGAUGAUCAGCCACACUGGAACGGAGACACGGGCCAGACUCCUACGGGAGGCAGCAGUGGGGAAUUUUGCGCAAUGGGGGAAACCCUGACGCAGCAACGCGGCGUGAGUGAUGAGGGCCCUUGGGUCGUAAAGCUCUGACAGAGGGAAAGAAGUGCAGGGGAGCUAAUAUCUCCUUUGCUUGACGGUACCCUCAAAGGAAGCACCGGCUAACUCCGUGCCAGCCGCAGCCGCAGUAA